rnacentral:snoRNA from 1 species
UGAUGAGACAUCUCCGGAAUCGCUGUAGCGCCGUGAUGAUUCCCUUGAACCCUUGUCUGUCUGAUGACUGAGCUGCCAGGCCAGC